CACUUUAAUUUUAACUUGAUAUUAGGCCUUGUCUCAAUUUGAGCUUUUAGAGUCAGACCCGAAAGAAAUGGCUAAAGAACAACCCUGUUCUGAGUCACCAACCCAAGCAGCCAAAAAUACUGUAGUAAUCUUCCUAACUUCAAGUGCUCUUAUUCCCAAAUAUUACUCGUUUAAAUAACAAAAAUAAAGACUAUCUCAAGGAAAGGAGAUAAUCAGCUUGCUAUCAUGGUCAUUUGUUGCGGAGGGUGAGGAGAGUUGUAUUUUGCAAGGUUAUCUGAAGAUUUUUAGAAAAAUGGAAUAAAACAUUGCAUUGUAUUCUGUAGCUUUAUGCUUUGCUUGAAGGAAAGUCACAGAAAGUCUAAAAUCCUGCUCAUAUCCUCUCACAUGAUGGGUCCAUUUCUUAUAGCCCUGAGUGUUUUAGAAAAUAGUUGGGUUACUGCUUUCUCAGUAAGGAACCCAUGUCACUCAGAGCAUAUAUUAAAGGCGCUUUUUCUAAAUUCUGGGCAUUUUAAAAACCAUUUCCUAAUAAUCUCCAUUGUGUGAUUUGCAUUUCACAUUGCUACCAUACACUUGGUGGCACUGUGGGCAAAAGAUUCCUGCAUUACAGGGGUUUGGACUAGAUGAAUCUUGGCGUCCCUUCCAACACUACAAUUCUACGAGCCUUGAGCAUUUUUCUCUGAGUAAUUCAUGGCACACCCAAGGUACUACCAGUAACUGCCGGCUCAGACCCCAUCAGAGUUUGUUUGACCUAAGAGUUUUUCAAACCCAGUGUUUUCUCAAGUGUUUUACCAUCUGAAGCUAGCGCAAUGAAUAGUAUUAGGAUUUAAUCCCUCUCCUGAUAAAUUAGGUGCCCGCUAAUAGUGAAUAGCAUCAGUUCCCAUGCCUAAAUUAAGAGAACAAAAUCUUACCUAAUGAAACACUGCAAUCACUUGCAGCUAUCUUCUUUUUGAAGUGCUGUAUCCCUUGCUGCCAGUUUUUAUAGUGAGGUGACAUGCGAGGAUGGCGCACAGGGAGGAAGCAUUUAGAAGACAACAGAUCAAUAGUUGAAGACAAAAGGUAAUCAAAGAGUCUUACAAGGCUGUCAAUACUGUAGCUUGUUACCUGGGCAGUAUCUCCCCUUAGAGAUCUCUUGCUUAUUUAACUUCUUUAUUAAAGCAAUGCCAAAGAAAACAAAGGGAUGUAGCCCAAGAGCAGAAAGAAAAUAAUUGUUAUUAUAAAUAAUAGUGGAUUUAUAUACAUUCUAUUUAGGGAUAUUGCUUGUGAGGGUAACUUGCCGUAUCUCUUAUAGUAACAACAAAAGCAUUCCCCAUCUGUCCUCAGUAUAUCUUCACAAUAGGCUUCACAAAUUCAUUCUAAAGAAGAAAAAGGUUUGGGCAGAAAAUGAGGGCUUUGUGGCGUUACAAUUGUAAGCUUUGCAACAAAACACUUUGAGUUGAUGUAUCCAGGUUAGAUAUUCCGUACUCAUGUUGCACAAAGUCUUUUCUGUUAAACUCCUGCUACUCUACAAACAGUGUGAAUCAUGCUUUUCUUAUCAAGUAGCUUAUAAAAAAAUGGUGCAGGUUUAGAUUGGGUUGAAACCUUGAAACUCUGCUAAAUGGAAGCUCAGACCAGUUUAUAUACAAGUUGGUUUUCAGAAAGUACCCUACCUAGGAUAUGCUGUGCAGUGAUAUAGAUAUUUAAGCUACUUUGCAGUAUGAUCCUCACAAUCUAAUUGAGCUGUUACAAAAUUUGUUCCCUUGUAUGAUACCCAAAUGGUUGGAUUUCUAAUUUCCCAGCCAAUCACAGUAUAAGGAACCCUUGGUGGACACUGAUUUUUAAUUGCACUUUAAUAAUAAACAAACUUGAUACCUUGCUUAAUGCAACUACAGUGGUACCUUGGGUUACAUAGGCUUUGGGUUACAUACGCUUCAGGUUACAGACUCCGCUAACCCAGAAAUAGUACCUCGGGUUAAGAACUUUGCUUCAGGAUGAGAACAGAAAUCGUGCUCCGGCGGUGCAGCGGCAGCGGGAGGCCCCCUUAGCUAAAGUGCUGCUUCAGGUUAAGAACAGUUUCAGGUUAAGAACAGACCUCCGGAACAAAUUAAGUUCUUAACCUGAGGUACCGCUGUAUAUUGUUCUAUAUGAUGAAAUCCUAUAGGGUGGCAUAAAACAAAGAGCUGUAUUCUGGAUACUAACUUUUUACCAAUACAUUUCAAAAUUUUCUUCACGAAAUAUACUUACUUGCUCUUAAUCCAUAUGGUUAACAACAACAACAAAAAAAGAAGCCUCACAGGUGGGAGGGUGGUCUACAUCAAAAUUUUGGUUCCAGGUGCCAUAUUGAUUCAAGAUGGAGGACCAAAAUGUGACUGUGGUGUCACUGUACCUGUUUUUUGGCAUAGGUUUGGCUGGCUCUUGAGAUAUUGUCAGGAAAUUUGACAUGAGAGUUCCAAAGGUGGGGGAAAUAGACUUCAUUGGUAUUUGGACACUAGGUGUCGAUUUAAUAAAUAUGGUGGACCAUAAUGUGACUUUGUUGUGACAUCACCUGAUUUUUGGCAGAAUGCAUCCAAACUCACAAAUUACACUAUCCAGUUAAAUAUCACAAUAUUUUUUGUUUUCUAAAAAAUCCUGGCAGCAGUGGGUACUCCUUAUUAGCUAGUGGCUAAUAAGAGAAAGCCGAAAUUUUUCAAAUGCAAGUGUUGUGUGUGUUCUCUAUAAGGGGCCUCAAACUGAAUUAUGUAGCAGUAUUUCAAAUGUUUCUGGGGAUGUGUUUCAUUUUAUCUUGUGUGCUAUAAAACGGUUUGGAAAACAAAUUUGAGUAGCCUGAUGCAGCCCUUUUCCAAUUAAAAAAGAAACCAGUUAGCUGUUCCUAAUCAGUCAAAAACCCUUGUAAGUAAGAUAUCAUAGUCCAAGUGUAUGUUUCUAACUGAGGGUAGUAUCUGCCAUUUUUAGAUGUUUCUUGUAAUGUAGCUUUUUUGUAUGGAAAAGUUCUUUAUUUGCCACCAUGUUCCUUCAGUGCAACCAGGUGGCACUCUCCGUUGGAUGCACCUUUUAAAUAUUAAUUGUCUAUAUUAUAUCAUCUGCUGCUUUAUAAAAUUACAGAGGAAGCAUGGUAGGAAGGCGUCUGAAUAACAUUAAGCAGACAUAACAAUAUUACUGCCUAGGCAACUGAUGCUUGAUCAAAGUGAAGCUAUUUAUCAAAUAGAAAUGAAAUUUACGAUCUCCACAUUAAGACCUUAUAUAUAUAUAUUGCAAAUUUCUGUUAACUUGUGAGGAGUAGUUUAUAUAUAGUCUCCAUAACAGAUUUAAAAUACUUUUGUUUUGUUUUUUAAUAGUAGCUGCACAGUCUAUGCAUGUUGUCUUGGAAGUAAAUCCCACUGUGUUCAGUGCAGCUUACUUCUAAGUAAGGGUGUUUAGGAUUGCAAAUUAAAACCUGCUGGAGAAUACACCAACAUUUCAGAAUUUGGAUCUCCUUGGAAAUCUGUUUAUCUUUUUUCCACAGCUGAUGUGCUAGGGAAGAAGAGCAAUUUUGUUUUCUCCCAAGUGGUUUAGAUUUGAUUUGAACUCGCAGCAGAGUUUAAGCUGAUGAAUAGCUUUUUAUUGAACAUGAAUAAAUUGAGAAAUUCAGAUUAGUCAGCCACUUUUUCCUCAUAAUUUAUAUUAUGAAAAAGAUGUAUGUGGCGAAAAAUAGAACACAAAGGUAUGCACAUUUGAUGACUUGUGCUGGAUGACUUGCUAAAUUAAUAGAAUAAUUAAUGAAUUUUGAUGCUGUUACAAGCGUUUUCCUUUUCCUUUUACAUUAUUCUUAUGAAGGUGGGGGGAGCAGGGGCGGAAAACACAGCUCAUGGAAACAGGGUCAGUCACCAUGAAAGACAACAGGACACUGGGCAGCCACUUGCAAACACACUGACUGAUAUCCAACAUUAGUCAUACUCAGAGCAAACCCAUUGAAAUUAAUGUACUUGUACUUUGCUUCCAACGAGUGUACUCUGUAUGAAUAACACUGGACAUCAUAUUGGGAAACAAAGACUCAUUGCCAGUUCACCCUGGAAGAAGACUCAUCAAACAAACAAAUGGUAAAAAUGUCAUAUUCGUUCCAACAUUAGAAGAUCGGUCAAACAAUUCUGUAAGUGUGGGCAGAUGGGUUUGAAUUAAUGUAUAUGAGGGAAGCCUUGGGUAUAUGAACCACGCAUGGGCAUCCAGGCCAAGCAUUCACUGGUGUGCAUACCAGACGUAACAAGCAUCUCCCAUGAUCUCCCAAGCC